UGGCAAUGAUGUCUAAGAAUUUCUUCACCUGAAUAGAAUCGUGUGGCUUUUCUGAGCUUUUUAACCCUGAGCAGU
rnacentral:snoRNA from 1 species